rnacentral:rRNA from 1 species
UACAGAGGUCUCAAGCGUUGUUCGGAUUCAUUGGGCGUAAAGGGUGCGUAGGUGGCGGGGUAAGUCAGGUGUGAAAUUUCGGAGCUUAACUCCGAAACUGCAUUUGAUACUGCCUUGCUUGAGGACUGGAGAGGAGACUGGAAUUCACGGUGUAGCAGUGAAAUGCGUAGAUAUCGAGAGGAACACCUGGCGGCGAAGGCGGGUUGCUGGGCCGACACUGACGCUGAUGCGGCGAAAGCCCAGGGGAGCGAACGGG